GUUUUGCUUUAAUGGGAAUUGGCAGCUCAUUUCAUGCUCAAGAAACUGUUGUGAGUGGGCAAUUGGAGAGUCGAGUGUGGUUCUGGCCUUCGGGUACUGUGUGACUUCAGGCCAUCAACUACAGAGGUUAACAUAACAAUAAAGCAUUUACUUGUGUUGCUUCUCUCAGCAGUGGAGUUUUGUUGUCUCAGUUCACGUUUUGGUGGCAUGAUCGACAUGGAAUCUGUCGAGGACGUGGCUAAUAUUUCUAAUGUGUCUGGGAUUACUACCCAUUCUUUGCAACUGUACAGUCAUUGCUGACCACUGGACCCUCUCCCUGCAACUGUACAGUCAUUGCAAUUGUUGUUUUUUAAUUUGGCAAAUACUAGGAGCUUAGGCAUAAAUGCAUUGUCAGGGGAGAAUAUUUUGUGCUGAAAGUAGUAACUUUUCAAUAUGUUGAAUAUUUAAGACUACUUGAAUACUUAAAGAACAUUUUGUUGUUGAUGAUAGUGUUGAAUGUUUUAAACUAAUUUGUGGAUUGUUAAUACAAUGUUGAAUGUUUUUA